rnacentral:misc_RNA from 1 species
GAUGAAGAACGUAGCGAAAUGCGAUACGUAGUGUGAAUUGCAGAAUUCAGUGAAUCAUCGGAUCUUUGAACGCACAUUGCACCUCUCGGUAUUCCGGGAGGUAUGCCUGUUCGAGCGUCAUUUGUACCCUCAAGCUCUGCUUGGUGUUGGGUGUUUGUUCCGCCUCUGUGUGUGAACUCGCCUCAAAACAAUUGGCAGCCGGCGUACUUGUUUCGGAGCGCAGCACAUUUUGCGAUCCAGAUCAACGUACAGCGGCAUCCAAGAAGCCUUAUUUAACGCUCUUGACCUCGGAUCAGGUAGGGAUACCCGCUGAACUUAAGCAUAUCAAUAAGCGGAGGA